UUAAGUUCAGCGGGUAUUCCUACCUGAUCCGAGGUCAACCUUGUAAAAAUUACAGUGGAUUUAACGGCUGGAGACCGCCGAGCCUCCCAAGCGAGAAAGUAAACUACUACGCUCGGAGCCGCGGCGGGUCCGCCACUGAUCUUGGGGGCCUGCGGAAACACCUAGAGAAGGCGGUCCGCAGAUAAAAACCCCAACGCCAG
rnacentral:misc_RNA from 1 species